rnacentral:sRNA from 1 species
AGCUGUUCCCCUCUGGAGGUUUAGACCUUCAUACCUAUAAAGGGCCCCGAGCUUUCGGUGGCCCUCUUUUUUUGCCCUA